UACAAGGUUUAGGAGAGUUGAGUUUUAAAAUAAAAGGAGAGAGAAAUGUGUAACAUAUAGGGGUUAGUGUAACUUAGCACAACAAAAUUCAUUAUGCGCAGCUUGCAGCCACUGAACAACGAUUGGGGAUUCUACGUCAACAAUAAACAAGACUUUCACCGGAGCAAUCAACAUCAACGUUUUUUCAUCCCAAAUCACCUUCUCCGAUCGCACGCUUCCCUGAAUUUCCUUCAAUCCAUCAAGCUAAACAUUCUUCUCUUCUCUGAUCUUGAUAUUGAUAACCUUGACUGAUGCAGUGAAUGAGUGAACUCUUGACUUCAAGAAAUCCAAGUCCAUGUAUAUAGUGGGUGGGAGCCACUGAUGAAGAGAUCAAUGGAGAUCGAGCUUCAGGACAGAUGGUUGGCGUCAAAUGUGAGCCAAAGGAUCUGAAUUAUCACUUUGACAAAUCAACGUAAUGCUCUACCACAAAUUCUCCUUUUACUGUACAUGGUCAAUUAGGUCAUUGGGUCGCCUCAAACAUCAAAAGCUGUUGUCUGUUCUUUUAAAUUUAUAUGUGGGUCACGACAAUUAGGGUAACACACGCGUAGUUAGCUUAGCUUCCCAGCCUAGUGAAUGAACAUGCUUUGUCCCCUUUUGUUUUAGUUCUCUCCGCUGUUUAGGGUCCAUCUUCUUACUUCCAUUGAUGAUCUGUCAAAUUGUAUAUAUGAAAAAUAAUUCUGAGUAUUCUCUAUUUUUGAGAAAUUUUAUAAAGAAAUUAAAAUGUUCUUUCUCACUUUACGCACUAGUAAUGUCAGUCAAUAUUUGUCCUAUUAAUUUCAAUAUUUUAUGGUGUCUAAUGACAUUCUUCACCAAAUGUCUUGUGUCCAUACACCUCAACAAAACAUUUUGAUGUCGUUUUGUUCCAUACUUUGAGUCGCCUCAUGACCCUUUCUCUCAUUCUUGCGGACCCACCAGAGUUUGUUCCAUACUUUGAGAUGCCUCUCGACCUUCUGUUUGCAAUCACUCAUAUGGAUCCAUAACAGCAUGUUUCAUCCCCUAUUGUACCACUUGAACCUCUUACGUCUAUCCCAUCUAAUCCUCCUCACGUGGACCCUUAUGCGACAUAACCUCUGCAUGUACAAUGUUGUCGUCAACCACAUGCUGUGGAUGUUCCUACAUAUGUUCCUGAAACUGAUGCCAUUUCAGACUCUCAUUCGCCUUUUUAAAGGAUCUGACCCUGAAUCUACUUAUUGCUAUUUCAAAAGGAGUAUCCUCCAAAGAGGGAAUCAUCCUCAUCCCAAAUGAACCGGCAAUAUGAGACUGAAUGCACUCCAUCAAAGCACAUUAAUGACAAACUUGCUGAGAUUGAAGUAAAUUCAGAUGAAAGCAUUGAAAUAAUGAGUAAAAGUCAUGCCAAAGUGUGAAGAAUUGAGCAAAAACUACCAAGAGUGGAAAAUAUGGGACUUGGAAAAUUUUUGAAGAAGAAAUGACUGCCAAUUUAGUUCUUGAAGUAUUAAAUAGUCCAUGAUGUUCUCCCCAAGUAAAUCACGUUAAUCCCUCUACCAGUGUGAUUUGUGUUACAGCCUUUAAGUGCAAUGUUGUUUAUCCCUCUCUCCUACGUGAAAUCAAGACAGACCCUCUCUUCCUACAUGUCUGUUAUCUAGUUCCCAAACUUAAAAAACAUCAAAUUUGUUCCUUAUCAGAUGCUCUCUUUCUACAUUUUCUUAACCAUAUAACAUCUCUAACAUUAGAUAGGAAACAAUUCAUUACAAACGAUAGGAUAAAUCUGAUGUGGGAAUCUCCACACCCAUGUUUUAGAACCUGCUUGCAUGGAUUCAAUGCAGCACAGCUACAGAGUCUCGACUACAAACUGAAGAGUGAUAUUUGAAGUGCUGUUCGGCGCCAAGGAGCAAUUGAGCAGGACUUGAGGGUGGAUUGUAACCACGCAAGUCGAAGCUGAUCUUGUUCCCAAGCUUCAAAUUCAGAUGAGAUGUGAUCGUUGUUCACUUUUCAGUUUGAAUUUCACUGGAAUGUGAGGAUUUAGAAUAAAAUGAUGAAGUUUGUGAGCUUUGAUCACAUGAUCCACCUAUUAACACCAUAACAGGUAGUUUUCUGAAUCAAGUUUCUCAGAAAUUGCAGAAAAGGCAUAAUUCUGUUUUGUAGAAGAUGAGUUUAUGCGCUGAAGAGGAGAUGGAGUGCCUGAGGCCUCAGGACCUUGGGGUGUGUCUACUUAUACCAUGUUCGAAAAUUACUCUUCAUUAAUUUGUGCAGAGAAAUCUUAACUCUGAUUUAUGUUUUUAGUACAAUGAGUGUGGGUUCUAUUUA